UCCAAUGGCUGCCCGUAUUGCCUGACUCAUAGGGCCAGGGGUGGGCGGAAGAGGCACGUGCCUGGCGCACAAAGCUUGGGGACAUCACAGACGUACCUCAUAAGUAACUGCCCGACCCCUAGUCCAACACUGAGACAGGAGGCCAUGUUAAUUGAAUUCUUCUUUUAAUGAGCAUCAGCAACAGAAAAAGCAGCAAGUGACUGAUCCCAACAGAGAGGGUUUCAUGUCUGCAGAUUCAUCAUAACAGAACAGAUCACUGAAGAGGAAAGGGUUGGUACCUAUGAAGCACCUGCAGCCAGAAAAUGUAUCCUGCAUCAACAUUAAACAGAAUACUAAAGGCUGAAAAAGAAUAACCACCAACCUUCGACUGAAUAGAAUGCAACCAAAAUCUAUGCAAAGUCCAAUGGAUAAAAGGGAUGGAUGUGGAGAGUUAUAGACCAGUGAUUGCUACCAGUUGGCCAAAGGCAAGAUAUACAGGACUGGCAUUACAGAUAUACAGGUAUGGCACCUGGUAUCCAGAAUGCUUGGGACCUGUGGUUUUCCGGAUAAGG